rnacentral:rRNA from 1 species
AGUAUACAUAAGAGUUUGAUCAUGGCUCAGAGCGAACGCUGGCGGCAGGCCUAACACAUGCAAGUCGAACGCACCUUCGGGUGAGUGGCGGACGGGUGAGUAACACGUGGGAACGUACCUUUUGGUUCGGAAUAACGCAGGGGAAAACUUGUGCUAAUACCGAAUGUGCCCUUCGGGGGAAAGAUUUAUCGCCAUUAGAGCGGCCCGCGUUAGAUUAGCUAGUUGGUGAGGUAAAGGCUCACCAAGGCUACGAUCUAUAGCUGGUCUGAGAGGAUGAUCAGCCACAUUGGGACUGAGACACGGCCCAAACUCCUACGGGGAGGCAGCAGUGGGGAAUCUUGCGCAAUGGGCGAAAGCCUGACGCAGCCAUGCCGCGUGAAUGAUGAAGGUCUUAGGAUUGUAAAUUCUUUCAGUAGGGACGAUAAUGACGGUACCUACAGAAGAAGCCCCGGCUAACUUCGUGCCAGCAGCCGCGGUAAU